ACAAACUGGUUUUUCGUAACUACAUUUGACUACAAACAACUACAAUUGACUACAAUGAACUACAAUUGACUACAUAUAACUACAAUUAACUACAAUUGAAUACAUUAACUACAAUUGUAUACAACUGCAUAAAUAAAAAUAAUAGUUUAAUUUUGAAAAUGAACAACUAACUACAAACCUUCUACAACUUGAUCUUUUAACUCUGAACUGGAACUUCUGCAUAACUGCAUA
rnacentral:lncRNA from 1 species